GGGCGGGACACGUAUUCUUGUUCGCUGAACAAGGGAAUCAGGUGAAAUUCCUGAACACGGCCCAGCUCCGCUCGGUGCGGAUGGGUACGUAGCUGUAAGCACGGAGCGUAUCCUCUUUCCGUGAAAGCGGGUCACUGGCUUGUGCUGGGAAGGCGGGGGAUAUGCGCUGGCGGCAUAGCCGUCUGGACGUGUGAGUCAGAAGACCUACAAGGAGCAGUUUCUCCCC
rnacentral:ncRNA from 2 species